rnacentral:rRNA from 1 species
AGCAUAGACGGUGUGGCAAGUCUGAUGUGAAAGGCAUGGGCUCAACCUGUGGACUGCAUUGGAAACUGCCAUACUUGAGUGCCGGAGGGGUAAGCGGAAUUCCUAGUGUAGCGGUGAAAUGCGUAGAUAUUAGGAGGAACACCAGUGGCGAAGGCGGCUUACUGGACGGUAACUGACGUUGAGGCUCGAAAGCGUGGGAGCAAACA